GACAAUGAUCUUUCUGAAUUUGAUGAAUCGAGGGAUAUAAUUGAAAGUUUGGUUGAUGAAUACAAGGCUUGCGAGUCACCGGAUUAUAUCAAAUGGGGAGUGGAGGAUCCUGGGCAUAGUUUAACUGGAGAAGGAAAUGUCUCGGGAACACUGGAUCCAAAUUUGGCUGUGUAAAUGAAAUAAGUAAAGCCUCAAUUAUGUAGUCUUCUCAGGAUACCACAUAAAUAUUAGGUCUACUCUGGAGAGAGUAUUGUAAAUUUUUCUUUUUAAUAACCAUAUGUAUUUUAGUAUUUGAGUUGU